rnacentral:rRNA from 1 species
AUUGAACGCUGGCGGCAUGCCUUACACAUGCAAGUCGAACGGCAGCACGGGAGCAAUCCUGGUGGCGAGUGGCGAACGGGUGAGUAAUAUAUCGGAACGUGCCCAGUCGUGGGGAUAACGUAGCGAAAGCUACGCUAAUACCGCAUACGAUCUAUGGAUGAAAGCGGGGGAUCGCAAGACCUCGCGCGAUUGGAGCGGCCGAUAUCAGAUUAGGUAGUUGGUGAGGUAAAGGCUCACCAAGCCGACGAUCUGUAGCUGGUCUGAGAGGACGACCAGCCACACUGGGACUGAGACACGGCCCAGACUCCUACGGGAGGCAGCAGUGGGGAAUUUUUGGGACAAAUGGGCGCAAGCCUGAUCCAGCAAUGCCGCGUGCAGGAUGAAGGCCUCGGUUGUAACGUAG